rnacentral:rRNA from 1 species
ACCUAGUAGUGGGGGAUAGCCCGGAGAAAUUCGGAUUAAUACCGCAUAAUCUAUUCGUAGUAAAGUGGGGGACUUUCGAGCCUCACGCUACUAGAUGAGCCUGCGUAAGAUUAGCUUGUUGGUAGGGUAAAAGCCUACCAAGGCUACGAUCUUUAGCUGGUCUGAGAGGAUGAUCAGCCACAUCGGGACUGAGACACGGCCCGAACUCCUACGGGAGGCAGCAGUGGGGAAUAUUGGACAAUGGGGGCAACCCUGAUCCAGCAAUACCGCGUGUGUGAAGAAGGCCUGAGGGUUGUAAAGCACUUUCAAUUGUGAAGAAAAGUUAACGGUUAAUAACCGUUAACCUUGACGUUAACUUAGAAGAAGCACCGGC